UAUGAGGCUCCAACAGAGAGCAGGCUGUGUUACAAGGCAGGUCCUGAGGAUCUGAUCCUGCCGUCCGCUAGCACGUGCACCUGGGUCAGCAAUAACACAGGGGGUCUUAGCAGUCCAGCUCCCUUUUUACACACAAGUCUGUCUAGGAGGCCUAAAGACAGCCCCGUAACCCCUGGCAACCAAGGAGCCAAUGGGUGGCCAAGAAUCUGGCGCUGCCAUGGAAAUGAGCUCCUUUCCUUGGCAUUUUCAAACAUGGUUAUGGUUUGUGAGGGAGUGAAGGAAUGCAUGGAGACUGAAGUGGCAACAGACACACUCACAGCCGCCACCUGAGCCUGAGGACCCCAGGGCCACCCCCCUCAGCAGGAUCAGUUCACCCAAGGAAGAAGGGCUGUUAGGGGACAAAAGAAGAUGAUUAUACUUUGCUCCAUUCUGAAAUAAGAGCCAGGAGUUAAGAGUGCCC